rnacentral:lncRNA from 1 species
UUAGUGGCAGCAGUGACCUGACUGUGCCACAGUCCAACAACACUGAGAUAAUGACAGUUAAACUAGAAACAGCAGAGUAACCGAGGAGCUGCACUUCAGAGUAGGACUUGGAUUAGGGGAUACUGGUACAAGAAAGGUAGUUCUUCAUUCAGCUGAGUCUGCCUACUGCUGUGAGUGACAUUGCAGAUUCUCCUUAAUACUGCCUUCAGGAUCACUGACACUUCUCCACGGCUUCUUCCUUUCCACCUUAUCCUUUGGCUUCUUGCCAUCUCAGGAGGAGUAAAUAUUCUGGGUCCUGUUUCUUCAUCCUAUU